rnacentral:rRNA from 1 species
GACGAACGCUGGCGGCGUGCCUAAUACAUGCAAGUAGGACGCAGUUGCGAACGGGUGAGUAACGCGUGGGUAACUGCCUAUUAGAGGGGGAUAACUCUUGGAAACGAUAGCUAAUACAGCAUACUAGUAGAUGGACCUGCGUUGUAUUAGCUAGUAGGUAGGGUAAUGGACUACCUAGGCGACGAUACAUAGCCGACCUGGUAUGGGGAACGGCUACAACGGGACUGGAUCACGGCCCAUGAUCCUUCGGUAGGGAGCAGGUGGGGAUCUUCGGCAAUGGGGGUAACCCUGACCGAGCAACUGCGGGUGGGUGAAAGAAGUUUUCGGGUCUUUAAGCGCUGUUGUGAAGGAAGCGGUACUUAACCAGAAAGCGACGGCUAACUACGUGCCAGCAGCCGCGGUAAUUC